UGUGCACCGUAACUAUUUCUGGCAUUACGCCAGUUUUGCCGCUGUUUCGUGAUCUGUAUAAUUAUCAGUGUAAUCGCGCUAACACUUGCGUUAGCACGGGUGCUUAUAACACUAAUACCUGCAAUAUAUGUUUAGUUCUUCUUAUUAUGGGCAUAAUCCUGUAUUCUACAGUUUGUUAUCUGUUGCUAUAAUAAUGCUGCAUAACGUGAUUUAUGCUAUUAUAUUUCUUUCCGUAGUUUAUAUCCUUGCUUAGUGUAUAUAUGAGAGUUCAUGAUGUUUCAUUUGUAAUACGGUUGAAUCCGUAUGUAGACAGGUUAUUUUUUAUGUCUUAUUUGUUUAUUACAGAAACUACCUCAGUUGAAUACUGGCAUGUGUACAAGGUUGAAACUUGCAUAAAUAAAAGCGAAAUCUGAUGACUCCUCCCUAAUCAGAGUACUGAAGUGGUUAACAGCCUUUAAAACUAGCAAUCAGUGGGGUAAUUCUCAACAAUAAAAGUAAAAAUAAAUAAAAUAGCAGCGCUUUCUUUGCUUUUAAUGACACACAGCUGCUAAGUUCCAUUAAUCCGAAGCAGGAGGGGGUAGUAAUGUACAUACGCUGGUUGCCAGCCGCCGUUAAUACUCAAACAAUUCCACGUCAACUCGAACACGCAAAACCCCGGUAUGAAGCUUUGUCAUGAGCAUGCCAAACCAACAGAUGGCGAUAUAUUCCUUAACCCAGAGAAGCCACUCCAGUCUCGUCUUGCCAUGAACAAGGAAAAAAUGCGGGAGCUGACUUCGCAGACGUACGUGGUUCAGGCAGAUGGCCAUUGCUUUUCUGAACAGCAGUUGGAAGUAUUCUGAGGUAAUUUAAAUUUUAGGAAAAAUAUGAGCAUGAUUAUCGAUGAUUAUAUAAUUGAGUUCAAUAACAUAGUAAUUUUGG